rnacentral:lncRNA from 1 species
AAUUCAUACUGGAGAGAAACCCUAUGAAUGUAACACAUGUGGGAAACUUUUCAACCAUAGGUCAUCCCUCACCAACCAUUAUAAAAUUCACGUGGAUGAGGACCCUUAAAAAUACAUUUGCAGGUGUAAAAGCCUUAAACCAAAGCUCUUCAGAGAAUAUCUUGAGAGAUGUAAUAAACAUAAUAUGGGGGGUCUCUAUAAUCAUUUAGUUACUGUCAACUAAAUUCCAUGGAUAAGUUUUAUGUAACAGGUAGGAACAAAAUGGUCAUGCCUGUCUAACACUUUUAAAAAUUACUUGAGAUCCAGGGGUUCAUACAUGUAGCUACUGGGACCCAGAGACAUGAGGAUUGCUUGACUCCAUGAGUUUGAAGCAGCCUCAGCAAACCUAGGGAGGUUUCCAUCUCAAAAGAUCAGUGACCUGAAAUGGAGAGUUCACAGUUGAAGACCUUGACUUCAGGUAUUUGUAAAAUGGUGCUUUUCUCUCUGCAGCAGUGUGUGCUAGAAACAGUUGUAAUUAUAGGCAUCUAAGUGCACAGAGGAGUGCGCUGGACUUCUCAGUAGCAAAACACUAAACUCUACUGUGGUGAUAUUUUUAUACCACUUUAAUAACAUUCAAAAGGGAUCAACUCAUUUUUAAGAAAAAAGAGCCAAAAUAAAAGAUUAAAAUGAGCUGUAAUCUACCUCUUAAGUCUCUGGAACAUCUCCUUUUCUUGACCGGAUUUCAAAUGUGUGUGGAUAUUAUUAUAAAUGAAAAAUAAAAAGCUCAUCUCCUGGUAUUGUGAAUUGGAGAUAGUCCACCUAGUUAUUAAUUCUGUUCCCAGAGGUUUUUGUUGUUGCUGUUGUUUUGAUUGCUUCAAAGUCAUGUGCUACUAAAUUCUACCUUUGACCCAUGUGCUGUCGUCGAGGUUGUGUGUUAAGUACGGGAACAGCAACUAAGGAGUAGCUCAGUGGUUAGGAGUUUCUGCAGUUUCAAGUGACCCAGCCUCAGGUUCCAGCACCCAUGUCAGGUGGCUCACAAAUGCCCCUACCUGCAGGCAGAUCUGAUGUCUCUAGUCCUCACAGGCAAUUGCACACAUUGCAUAUUCAUGUGUGUGUGUGUGUACACAGUUUAAAUCUUUCUAAAAGUGAGAAAUAAACUCAAAGUUACUAAGAACAUAUAAGUUUUAACCACACACGCAAAACCCUUAUCAGAAGACAUGGCAAAUCUAACACCUGUAGGAAAAUGCUGAAGAUCUUGCUAUUAUUUAGAGCUGCGUGUGUGCCCCCCAAAUUUAUGGGUUGAAAUGCUAGACUCUGGGGUGAUGAAAAGAUUACUAGGCCAUGUGAAUUAGCUCCUCUUUAAUGGAGUUAGUGUUGUGGUGAAAUAGUAAACUCUUUUUCAGCUGUCUCUCAAAUAGCAUAAGAAGAUACCUUUGAAAGGUAUGUUUUCGCCAGACAGCAAAAUAUCACCCCUUAAAAGUUGUAUUUACCAAUAUGAAUAUCUUUAUUAACAUCACUGGAUUUAGUAUCACCUAGAGGACACACCUCUGGUUAUGUCUUCGAGGGUGUUGCUAGAGAGGUCUACCUGUGGGGCAAAGAACCAUCCUAUAUGUGCAUGGAAUCAUUCCACGGACGAGUCCUGGACUGAAAAAAAAAAAGCCAGCUAAAUACAAGAAUUUUUCUGUUUUCAGCUCCAUUAAAACUUGAGGCAUCAGCCUAAUGCUUGUACAACCACAAGCUCCUCCUACUCUUGCUCUCCUAAUGUGAUCAGACCUGUGCUAAUUGUAACUGUAGUGACAUUGUAUGUAUGUAUGUAUGUAUGUAUGUGGGUAUAUGUGUGCAGAUAUAUACAUAUAUAUGCUAUAUGUAUGUUUGAGACAGGGUUUCUCUGUGUGUAGCCCUGACUGUUCAGGAAUUCACUCUGUAGACCAGGCUGGCCUCAGAGAUCUGCCUGCCUCUGCCUUCUGAGUGCUGGAAUUAAAGGCAUGGGCUACCACUGCCUGGCCUAUAUUUGUAAUUUUCAGUUAAAAAUUAAAUUCUUCAUUUGCAGUAGCCACAGAUCCUCCGUUGAAAAAAGUUGUGUUGCCUUUUGCUGAUCCAGACCCAGAAAUUAUUUGGUGUGACAAUUUUCUGCAAAAUGCUCUGUAGGGACAUGGGAAGACAGCCAUCUCACACCAGGUAGCACAUCACAUUGCUGGUAACUACACAGCACCUGGAAAUAAAAUGUCAAA